AGCGUACACGGUGGAUGCCCUGGCAGUCAGAGGCGAUGAAGGACGUGCUAAUCUGCGAUAAGCGUCGGUAAGGUGAUAUGAACCGUUAUAACCGGCGAUUUCCGAAUGGGGAAACCCAGUGUGAUUCGUCACACUAUCAUUAACUGAAUCCAUAGGUUAAUGAGGCGAACCGGGGGAACUGAAACAUCUAAGUACCCCGAGGAAAAGAAAUCAACCGAGAUUCCCCCAGUAGCGGCGAGCGAACGGGGAGCAGCCCAGAGCCUGAAUCAGUGUGUGUGUUAGUGGAAGCGUCUGGAAAGGCGUGCGAUACAGGGUGACAGCCCCGUACACAAAAAUGCACAUGCUGUGAGCUCGAUGAGUAGGGCGGGACACGUGGUAUCCUGUCUGAAUAUGGGGGGACCAUCCUCCAAGGCUAAAUACUCCUGACUGACCGAUAGUGAACCAGUACCGUGAGGGAAAGGCGAAAAGAACCCCGGCGAGGGGAGUGAAAAAGAACCUGAAACCGUGUACGUACAAGCAGUGGGAGCACGCUUAGGCGUGUGACUGCGUACCUUUUGUAUAAUGGGUCAGCGACUUAUAUUCUGUAGCAAGGUUAACCGAAUAGGGGAGCCGAAGGGAAACCGAGUCUUAACUGGGCGUUAAGUUGCAGGGUAUAGACCCGAAACCCGGUGAUCUAGCCAUGGGCAGGUUGAAGGUUGGGUAACACUAACUGGAGGACCGAACCGACUAAUGUUGAAAAAUUAGCGGAUGACUUGUGGCUGGGGGUGAAAGGCCAAUCAAACCGGGAGAUAGCUGGUUCUCCCCGAAAGCUAUUUAGGUAGCGCCUCGUGAAUUCAUCUCCGGGGGUAGAGCACUGUUUCGGCAAGGGGGUCAUCCCGACUUACCAACCCGAUGCAAACUGCGAAUACCGGAGAAUGUUAUCACGGGAGACACACGGCGGGUGCUAACGUCCGUCGUGAAGAGGGAAACAACCCAGACCGCCAGCUAAGGUCCCAAAGUCAUGGUUAAGUGGGAAACGAUGUGGGAAGGCCCAGACAGCCAGGAUGUUGGCUUAGAAGCAGCCAUCAUUUAAAGAAAGCGUAAUAGCUCACUGGUCGAGUCGGCCUGCGCGGAAGAUGUAACGGGGCUAAACCAUGCACCGAAGCUGCGGCAGCGACGCUUAUGCGUUGUUGGGUAGGGGAGCGUUCUGUAAGCCUGUGAAGGUGUACUGUGAGGUAUGCUGGAGGUAUCAGAAGUGCGAAUGCUGACAUAAGUAACGAUAAAGCGGGUGAAAAGCCCGCUCGCCGGAAGACCAAGGGUUCCUGUCCAACGUUAAUCGGGGCAGGGUGAGUCGACCCCUAAGGCGAGGCCGAAAGGCGUAGUCGAUGGGAAACAGGUUAAUAUUCCUGUACUUGGUGUUACUGCGAAGGGGGGACGGAGAAGGCUAUGUUGGCCGGGCGACGGUUGUCCCGGUUUAAGCGUGUAGGCUGGUUUUCCAGGCAAAUCCGGAAAAUCAAGGCUGAGGCGUGAUGACGAGGCACUACGGUGCUGAAGCAACAAAUGCCCUGCUUCCAGGAAAAGCCUCUAAGCAUCAGGUAACAUCAAAUCGUACCCCAAACCGACACAGGUGGUCAGGUAGAGAAUACCAAGGCGCUUGAGAGAACUCGGGUGAAGGAACUAGGCAAAAUGGUGCCGUAACUUCGGGAGAAGGCACGCUGAUAUGUAGGUGAAGUCCCUCGCGGAUGGAGCUGAAAUCAGUCGAAGAUACCAGCUGGCUGCAACUGUUUAUUAAAAACACAGCACUGUGCAAACACGAAAGUGGACGUAUACGGUGUGACGCCUGCCCGGUGCCGGAAGGUUAAUUGAUGGGGUCAGCGCAAGCGAAGCUCUUGAUCGAAGCCCCGGUAAACGGCGGCCGUAACUAUAACGGUCCUAAGGUAGCGAAAUUCCUUGUCGGGUAAGUUCCGACCUGCACGAAUGGCGUAAUGAUGGCCAGGCUGUCUCCACCCGAGACUCAGUGAAAUUGAACUCGCUGUGAAGAUGCAGUGUACCCGCGGCAAGACGGAAAGACCCCGUGAACCUUUACUAUAGCUUGACACUGAACAUUGAGCCUUGAUGUGUAGGAUAGGUGGGAGGCUUUGAAGUGUGGACGCCAGUCUGCAUGGAGCCGACCUUGAAAUACCACCCUUUAAUGUUUGAUGUUCUAACGUUGACCCGUGAUCCGGGUUGCGGACAGUGUCUGGUGGGUAGUUUGACUGGGGCGGUCUCCUCCUAAAGAGUAACGGAGGAGCACGAAGGUUGGCUAAUCCUGGUCGGACAUCAGGAGGUUAGUGCAAUGGCAUAAGCCAGCUUGACUGCGAGCGUGACGGCGCGAGCAGGUGCGAAAGCAGGUCAUAGUGAUCCGGUGGUUCUGAAUGGAAGGGCCAUCGCUCAACGGAUAAAAGGUACUCCGGGGAUAACAGGCUGAUACCGCCCAAGAGUUCAUAUCGACGGCGGUGUUUGGCACCUCGAUGUCGGCUCAUCACAUCCUGGGGCUGAAGUAGGUCCCAAGGGUAUGGCUGUUCGCCAUUUAAAGUGGUACGCGAGCUGGGUUUAGAACGUCGUGAGACAGUUCGGUCCCUAUCUGCCGUGGGCGCUGGAGAACUGAGGGGGGCUGCUCCUAGUACGAGAGGACCGGAGUGGACGCAUCACUGGUGUUCGGGUUGUCAUGCCAAUGGCACUGCCCGGUAGCUAAAUGCGGAAGAGAUAAGUGCUGAAAGCAUCUAAGCACGAAACUUGCCCCGAGAUGAGUUCUCCCUGACUCCUUGA
rnacentral:rRNA from 1 species